rnacentral:rRNA from 1 species
CGAGUGGCGGACGGGUGAGUAAUGUCUGGGAAACUGCCUGAUGGAGGGGGAUAACUACUGGAAACGGUAGCUAAUACCGCAUAACGUCGCAAGACCAAAGAGGGGGACCUUAGGGCCUCUUGCCAUCGGAUGUGCCCAGGUGGGAUUAGCUUGUUGGUGGGGUAACGGCUCACCAAGGCGACGAUCCCUAGCUGGUCUGAGAGGAUGACCAGCCACACUGGAACUGAGACACGGUCCAA